AAUACAAUAUACGUGUGAGGGCUAGAAGAUUUAAAAAUUAAAAAUACUUUGUUUUUAUCUUCAAUAGGGUAAAAUUCAUCAUUUGGAGAGUUCACUUGUGCAGGAAAGUUCAUUUGCUGAUGUUGCCAGGUAAGUGAAGCACUUUAAUAGAAUAUUUCUACUCUUGUUAAUAGGCAUAAUAAUCCUUUAUAGCUUUCUAGCUGUCAAGUGUAUCCAGAAAUGAACAAUCCUUUCCAGUGAGCAUAAGAAAGCUGAUACAGAAAGAUGAGGUAUUAGACUAAAUGAACUCAGUGAGGAAAGAGUAGCACAUUCCUGACCAGGUCACAACGCGAGGUAGGUGUCUGCCGAGUGCCAGGUGCUGAACUCGGUGCUCACCUCCUCUGUCUGACUUUGUUCUCUCAGCAAUUCAGUGAAACAAGUACUGAUCCCCUUAUUUACUGAGCAGCUACUACUGCACAUAUGGUAGCCACAAGGCAUAUGCUUCCUGGCCUCAUGAAGGCAGCAUUUACAAAAGACACAACUGAAACUCAGAGAAAAAUGCUUAGAGCAGAUGCCAGGCAGUUAUGAUUAAACUGUUUAUCUGAAUUUAUCUUAUUUUCAUUCCCACAAUGACCCCAGGUGUGGGUACUUCUAUUAUCUCUAUUUUAUAGUUGAGGAAAUGGAGGUUCAGAUCACACAGUGAGGAGCUGGGAUUGAGGCCAGCAGCGAUUCUACUUAGGCCCUAAUCAAGUUGCUACAUUGGUUCCAAGGUGGCACCUAGCACCAUGCCCACCAGGAGCCCAGAAAAUGUGCCUUUAAGGGUCUGCUUAUUCUUGUGAAGGCAUAAGUUAUACAAAUUUGGCUUGUGCCAAGGAGCUCUUCUCUCUGAAAAGACAGUUAUUUAAGACGAGUUGGUGCUAAGGGGCCGAGAAUGGAUCAGGGCUGUCUUCUCCCAUUCCAUCACACACUUUCUGCCUCUGAUAUUACAGGGCUCAGGCUUCAGAAUAUUAGCAGCUGAAGUCUGAAAAGCCCCAGAAAUCAAGGGAACCAUCAGACAAGAACCCUUUCUCUCUCAUAAAAGAAACUACUUCAGAAUCAACUCUGCAUACUUGUGUUAGUUAUAAAGUUGUACCCAGGAUUGAAGCAGUUAUGAAAGAUUCCAGAGUCCAGUUUUCUCGAACUUCAGAGCAUUGAUCUACGUGAGGCUUUGCCUACGUGGUUUGGGAAAUUCUUGGGUCACUGAUCAUGGUUUUAAUUUCUGUGGGGAUUUCCAGGAUGGAAUGUACAGUCUGAAAACAUUUAAACAAUUUUCAGUUUCCUAUUUUGGUUUUCUUUAGGGGCUAUCUGCAUAUGAUGGUUGACACAAAGACCUGAAGUUCUGUGUGGAUGAUGAAUAAUAAGCACUUCAACUUAGGUAACUGUACACUUCUAUUUUCACUGACUUUUGAAUCAAGACAUUUUGCUAUUGCUUACUUUAAAAACUUUAGCUAUUAAUACAAUUAAAAAUAUCUGCUUAUGCAAUUUGCCCCAUAUCCAUUCCAAAUAUGGAUUUCUUUUUCAAUUAAGAAGAAAUCUCCUCCCUCAAUUUAUUUACCAUUCUGUAUUUUUCAAAGAAUUAACAAAUCCUGAUCUCUUUGCUUCUCCUUACCACCUGGGGUCAGGGGGAGAUACUAUUCUGUUUUAGAAAUGUGGAAACUGAGGCUCAGUGAAACCUUGCUUGCCAAGGCUAAUAAAGAUAAUACAUACUGAAUUAAUAAUGCAUUCAUAAUUUGAUACUGAUUUUUAACAAA